rnacentral:rRNA from 1 species
AAUAUUGCGCAAUGGGCGAAAGCCUGACGCAGCCAUGCCGCGUGUGUGAAGAAGGCCUUAGGGUUGUAAAGCACUUUCAAUAGGGAGAAAAGGCGUACAGUUAAUAGCUGUGCGAGUUGAUGUUACCUAUAGAAGAAGCACCGGCUAACUCCGUGCCAGCAGCCGCGGUAAUACGGAGGGUGCAAGCGUUAAUCGGAAUUACUGGGCGUAAAGCGCGCGUAGGUGGUCUGUUAAGUCAGCUGUGAAAGCCCCGGGCUUAACCUGGGAACUGCAGUUGAUACUGGCAGGCUAGAGUACGAGAGAGGGAGGUAGAAUUCCAUGUGUAGCGGUGAAAUGCGUAGGUAUAUGGAGGAAUACCAGUGGCGAAGGCGGCCUCCUGGCUCGAUACUGACACUGAGGUGCGAAAGCGUGGGUAGCAAACAGGAUUAGAUACCCUGGUAGUCCACGCCGUA